CGAACUGCUUUCCACACGUUCCAUCAGUCAUUGCUCCACGAGAUAAGGUUGGAUGCAAAGCGGCGGGUUCCUGUGUUGCCUACCUAUUGUGAUGGAAAUCGUUCAAUUCGAUGUGCCUUUCGUCCUCGCGUCCUCUCGGACGUUCGGAUGGACUAGACGGAAGGGCUCGUGUACCACGGACGAAUCGCACGAUCGUUCCGAUGGACCACGAGCUUCUUCUCGUUCUCUCGGAUGCGGAAAGUCCCUCAUGGGCGUGGGUCAUUGGCCCUCGGACCCUAAUCUUUAAGCGGACGGGAAACGCUUUACAUGGGAAUGACGCUCUCGCCUCGUCUUCGACCAUGCGGAGCCCCCGGGUUCUCGCGAUGGAUCGUGCGGGGUGGACGUCGUGAAGGAAUGC
rnacentral:misc_RNA from 1 species